GUUUAAAUCCCACUCAUCAGACAGUUCAAAGAAAAAAGUGAUAGAGUUCGACAAAAUCAAACGUUUUUGCAGUACAUAAUACCUGCCUCCGUCAUCAAAGAAAGUAAGGGUGUCUUUUUUUUUGCAAUCAAAGAAGGUCACUGUAGCUCUUCCGACAUUUGUUGCUUGCCCGUAGGUUCAAUCUUUUUCGGGUGCCCGGUUAAAGAUGCUAUCCUUUUUGAACCGUCAACCGUGUGGACAACGAUUUUUUUUUUUGGACAACGAUUUUUUUUUGUCAACCGUGUGGACCGGUGCGCAGUAACCGACCGCCAGCUAGUCACGUCGCGGGAGAGAGGGAGGGAUAGGAGUCGAGGUUCGUCUAUUGGGCGAGCGCCCGCGUCACGUUAAAGGCGGGGAGAGAGGGGCCUUAGGAGGUACCGCUGAGGAGACGGGUGACCGAGUAAGCGUCGUACGUCGGAGGUUGGUUCAUAGGCCCGCGACGUACGUGGCUUCGGCGGCGACGUCUUACGACGACGCCGUCGCACGCGACGGCAGGCAGCCCCGACGCCGGUGGCAUGACCGCGCUGGUUCUCGUCGGACAGGUGCCACACGCUCGGCGACCCCGGGCUGGCCGGGCAGACCAAGGGGCCGUGGCGAGGAGGCGGCACCGAGCUGCCGUCGGAAGGCCCUCUGAAGCCUAAACUAGGAGAGCCUAAGCCUAGCCUCGGCCUCAGCGACGCCACCAAGCGCGUCCGCCUCGACUACGUGCCGGCCACCCGCUACGACCGCCGCCGGCCCUAGGACCAGGGCCUCUAGGACGUGUUCACCCCGAAGUACCUCCUCAAGAGGACCAUGUGGCGGCCGCUCGCGCUCAUGAAGCGCCUGGGAAACUGCGAGAAGCAGUGGGUCCACCGCGAGUACCCCACCCACCUCCCGGCCGCCACCUACCUGAUGGAGUUGGGCCCCAGGCAGCUGUAGCUCGGCGCCAAGGGGUUGGCGUUCUUGGGGUGGGGCCUGCACCCCAUGGGCCCCCCGGACACCAAGCUGACCCCGUUGACCCCGGCGCCGAGCGGCCUCGGGCAGUACCACGAGGCGUGGUUCCUCUAGUUCUUGCCGGCGGAGCGGUACGAGCGGAAGCAGCCGAAGACCAAGGUCCGGCAGAUGUGGCCGGUCCCGGGGGAGCUGUUGGAGAGGCGCGUGGAGCGGCUGGGGCCGGUGACGUUGUAGAAGAGCCGUAAGUGAAGGGUGACUAGCACCGUCUCACCGCUUGCCGCAACGAGUGCGUCUCCCAAAAACGGCACUUGGACUCGUGAAACCGAAACCACACAGUAGAUCGGGAAACCUUUUACACUUAUAAUGUCACGUGGCCUUCUCCCCUCACCCGGCCCCUUCUACGAAUGGUCAUGUGGAGACAUAUUACUUUAUGAGGGUGAUCCGGUUUUGUUUUAAGAUGAUGAUGGUGUCCGGUGUAAUUGUAGUCUUAGCGUGUCGACAAUAUGAAGAACUAUGCGCAUUAAAAGAAGAACCAAUUGGGAUCUGUGGAUAAAGAUACUGGAACUUAUCUUUUGACUCUCUCAGUCUAUCCGACGAUGCUUGGGUUCCGGUCUCCGUUGCACACGUCACAUUUUGUUUUCCUUCUUACUACACCAGCUACGUCCGGUACGCGCGGCGAGCUCAUACUAUAACUCGGUCGGCACUCGAGUAAAUCUUUGAGCAUGGCUCGAUAGUACAGCAGGGAACUCGAUCUGCUACGCAGUUACCAGCCGCGUCAAGUAUUCCUAUGGGCCAUGUUGAAAGAGUUGUUGGUCGUUCAGUAAGUUCUCGGCUGCUUCGGUUAAUCGAAGCUGGCAUCGAUAUAGAUCACAACCCUCAAGACGAAAAUAACAACUGGAGCAAUUCUACCAGACGAACGUUCUGAAAAUUUUUUGUUGCGGUGGUAGUACUCACUUGUGUAUAGGCGAGCACCGGAAAUAGAGUAGUCGUAGGUUCUAGAUCAAAAUCAGUGAUAUGGGAAGUUCGUAGAAACCCAGGGUCACAUCACUUAAGGUAUUAAGUGUUACAGAAAGUUUAUUGCGUAUUGAGAGAGAUCUCGAAA
rnacentral:rRNA from 1 species